rnacentral:rRNA from 1 species
GACGAACGCUGGCGGCGUGCUUAACACAUGCAAGUCGAACGGAAAGGCCCUGCUUUUGUGGGGUGCUCGAGUGGCGAACGGGUGAGUAACACGUGAGUAACCUGCCCUUGACUUUGGGAUAACUUCAGGAAACUGGGGCUAAUACCGGAUAGGAGCUCCUGCUGCAUGGUGGGGGUUGGAAAGUUUCGGCGGUUGGGGAUGGACUCGCGGCUUAUCAGCUUGUUGGUGGGGUAGGUGCAUACCAAGGCUUUGACGGGUAGCCGGCCUGGGAGGGGGACCGGCCACAUUAGGACUGGGAUACGGCCCAGACUCCAACCGGACGCAGCGGUGGGGAAGAUUACCCAGCGGGCGGGAGCCUGAUGCGACGACGCCGCGUGCGGGAAAACAUGCUUGUGGUUGUAAACCAAUUUUGUCUGACCCGAGGCGUGAGUGACGGUAACGGGUAAAGAAGCCCCGGCUAACUACGUG